GUUGAAUGAAGUGAAAUUUAGGCAAAUUAUUAUAUUACCUAAAGGAAUCUUUAAAGAAGAAUCUCAGAUAUGAAAGUGUGCCUUUGGGUAUUAGGACAUAAAGAGGUUAUUCACGAAUCAACCAUUUCUUAAAUAACUUUGUGCCAGGAAAAAAAAAAAGAUCACCCUUCCCCCACAAAGCAAAAAUUUUCCUGCAAAAGAUGAAUUCUUAAAUUUUUUUCACCAGAAAAUAUCCCCCCACCUCCUGCUUCUUUGUAUACUUUUUUUUCCUGCCAUUUCAAAAUAAUAAUGUUAGUGGCUUAAAGGGCACCAGGAUUUUAAUCUCUUCUGGUACAACAAAAGCAUGGAUUGUAGAGCAUAUUUAUGAUAGGCAAGGUUAGCUGAGUCAAAUCUCUCAGGCUCUCUAAUCCUCCAUCCCAAGUCAAGGGUUUAUCUUGCAGAAACUGUGCACCUCUAAUAACUAUGUCUGUUAAAACUGGACUUCAAUCCAUCUCUUGACUUAUGGACAUAACCAUUUCUUACAGUCACAGGAAUCUUAACGCAGUGUUUCUUUGGGCUCUGUUUUAUAGGUUACUUCCUAAACAUCCCUAGAAAUCACCCCUUCAAUCUGAAUUGCCUUCAUGGGACUUGAGGGUAAGAGGAAUUGAUGCGAGCAUGCUGACUCAUGCUGCUUAUUUCCUGAGUAAUAACAUCCUUUGUUUCUGACCCAGGAGUUCUGUCUUCCCUCAGCAAUGGCACCCUGACUUGUUAAUUGGCAAGUAGUAAAAUCUCAGAACGUUCACAGAUACUGACAUCUGUCAAAAUGUCAGAAAAUAAUACAAAGGCAUCGGGAAUCAUGAGAAGACCAUUAGCGCGCAGAGAACAUUUGUCCCAUCCACCUGUGGAGUCUGUGGAUCUGGAGAAAGCUACAUGGACUGCAGGAAAUCUGCACACUCAUCUCCCCCUUUCAACAAAUGACAUGUGUACUCCUUCCUGCUGCUGGUCCACUUCCAUAUUCACAGCUGGACUCAUGUCAUAA
rnacentral:lncRNA from 1 species